rnacentral:lncRNA from 1 species
UAUAGAUCAAACAUAUACAAUUACUUCCACUCAAUAUGACACACCUGUCCCAAAUCAUUCUAAUUGACCAGGAACGUGACAUUUACUGAUGAUAGAUGCUAACUAGAUGCUAAAUCCACUACCAAGGCGAACUAUUAGUUAUUACUAAAUAUUCGCUAUAUAAUAUGCUUAUGACAAAAAAAAUAAUACAAUGGGCCCAAAAUAAUUAUUUUUUGCUUUAUUAAAAUGAAUCGUAUCACUCAAUAUGUCGUACUUGUAAGGAAAAUUGUAAAAAAAAAAAAAAAUGAGUUGAUGGCUCAAUGAGUAGAAAUUUUUUAAAAUAAUUAUACUUUCUCAUUUAUACAAUUUUAUCCAAAAUUGAGUUUACUUCAUUUAACAGUUCAAAGUAUAACAUAUAAUAAUAAACAAGAUGUCAGACACCUCAUAACGCCAAAAAAUAUCAUCUUAUAGUCAUGAUAUAAUGAUUAACUCAAAUCCAUAUCAUCAUCUUACCACAUUAGAUAUAAUCCACUAAAAAUGUACCAUUUGACUGAUAUGUAUAAUCCGCCCUUUAGGCUAUGAAUUUUGGCCAUGGGCCUUUGACCUUCUCUGCGAAUGAAAACAAGUCUCAAAGACCUCUAUUAAUCAAUUAUAGAAUACGGUCAAUGCCCUUAAGUGAACUAUAUGCACACAAUCAAGAUCAAUUUUCAGUUAAGACCCUUUUGUGUCAGAUAGAACACGGCCAAAAGCCCUCUGUAAAUUAGAAAAGGUAUAUAAUCACGAUUCCUUUCUGAUUGAUCUCAAUAACACAUCUCACAUUCCAAUUUACAAUUAAUCCAAUACAAUCUUGAAUUCCAUAUUUAUCAUAGUGAAAGAAAAUUUCCAUGUUAAUCAUGUAAUUGGACAAAUAAUUAACGUAAUCGUACAUAAUAUAAUAAUAUAAGUACUUUAUCAAUAUUAGAAAAUAUACAAGUUUUUCCACUGACCAAGUUAAAGAACGAUGACAACUUCAAUCUUCUCGUCACCUUUCAUUCAAAUACUAAGUAUGAGAUCAUGCACUCGCGCCCCAUAAGAUCACAUCUCUUCACAGAGGUGCCUCGAGCUGUUUUCCUACGAUUGAAAUAAGGAUUUGCUAAUAGGAACUUAAUGUCUUUAUUUUCAAUAUCAUAAUCCCAAUUAGGAUCAUUAUUACCAUAUACUCUUUUAUAUAAGUUAUUUUAACGCAUAAUCCCCAGUAUUUAUCACUUAAUUUUGUUUUCAUUAUAAAAUAUCCAAGAAAAUUAGAAUAUUAACAAAAUAGCAUUAUACUUCUGGAUUACUGAAAAUAUGGCAUCUAUUUCUGUAUAUUGAACCCUGUCGCUAAAUCAUUAACAAAAAUAGCACUUUCCUAGACAGAAUUUCGGAAGCAACACCUGCAUACUAAACUUUCUCGAAAAUAACUUAAAAUUGCUUUAACAAUGGAUAAAUCAAACCUCAAAUCCUUGAAUUAAGUGUUUUACACCACAAAAUCACAAGAAAAUCAAAUAAUACGUCUUCAUCUCAUAAACCAUUCUCAAAUUUCACCAAUUUUCAAUUUUUUACUAUAUUAUCAUUUAAAACCUCAACUACAUGCCAAUAACACUUACUACUUGCUAAACUUCGAAUUUAAGCAAAAUUUUCUUCAACCCUAAAAAAAAUAAUUCAAUAUUCUUUUACUUACAUCUCUCAAUCAAAGGAAAAAUUUAAGAAUUGAGAACCUAAGCUUGAAAAUCGGAACCUACCUCUUCCUUCUUUCUUUUUUUUCUCUUCUUUCUUCCUUUCUCCCUUCUUCUCUAUGGUUUCGUCUCUACUUUCAG